CAGUCGCCGCGGGAAUACAGAGGGUGCGAGCGUUAAUCGGAUUUACUGGGCGUAAAGCGUGCGUAGGCGGCUUCUUAAGUCGGAUGUGAAAUCCCUGAGCUUAACUUAGGAAUUGCAUUCGAUACUGGGAAGCUAGAGUAUGGGAGAGGAUGGUAGAAUUCCAGGUGUAGCGGUGAAAUGCGUAGAGAUCUGGAGGAAUACCGAUGGCGAAGGCAGCCAUCUGGCCUAAUACUGACGCUCAUGCACGAAAGCGUGGGGAGCAAACAGGAUUAGAUACCCGUGUAGUCCCUGUCUCUUAUAC
rnacentral:rRNA from 1 species